UACGUAGGGGGCUAGCGUUGUCCGGAUUUAUUGGGCGUAAAGAGCGUGUAGGCGGCCAGGUAGGUCUGCUGUGAAAACUCGAGGCUCAACCUCGAGACGUCGGCGGAAACCAUCUGGCUAGAGUCCGGAAGAGGAGAGUGGAAUUCCUGGUGUAGCGGUGAAAUGCGCAGAUAUCAGGAGGAACACCUAUGGCGAAGGCAGCUUGCUGGGACGACACUGACGCUGAGACGCGAAAGCGUGGGGAGCAAACAGG
rnacentral:rRNA from 1 species